rnacentral:rRNA from 1 species
UACGUAGGAUGCAAGCGUUGUCCGGAAUUAUUGGGCGUAAAGAGCGCGCAGGCGGUGUAUCAAGUCAGAUGUGAAAGAGGCCGGCUUAACCGGCAAGGGUCAUUUGAAACUGAUAGACUAGAGUGCAGCAGAGGAUAGUGGAAUUCCCGGUGUAGUGGUGAAAUGCGCAGAUAUCAGGAGGAACACCGAUGGCGAAGGCAGGUCUCUGGGCCACUGACUGACGCUGAGAAGCGAAAGCAUGGGGAGCGAACAGG